rnacentral:rRNA from 1 species
UACAGAGGUCUCAAGCGUUGUUCGGAUUCAUUGGGCGUAAAGGGUGCGUAGGCGGUCGGGUAAGUCGGAUGUGAAAUCUCAGGGCUCAACCCUGAAACUGCAUUCGAUACUGCCUGGCUAGGGUACUGGAGAGGAGACUGGAAUUUACGGUGUAGCAGUGAAAUGCGUAGAUAUCGUAAGGAAGACCAGUGGCGAAGGCGAGUCUCUGGACAGUUACCGACGCUGAGGCACGAAGGUCAGGGGAGCAAACGGG